ACCCUACAGGUGUUGUGAGUAUGGCUGCUGUGUCACGUGUGUCAGUAGGUGGCAGAGAGGAGAGAGGCUAAGUCUAAAUUCAGUGUUCUGACCUGUGAACAUCAGAAUGAUUAGUAGUGGGAACAGG